rnacentral:tRNA from 2 species
CGGUUUGUAGUUUAAUUGGCAAAACA